CCCCCUUUCUCAACUCUUUGUCAGGGUGGUUUUCUAGCAUAUUCUUCAUAUAUGAUAUUUCGUUUUUUUGGGGAGGGACAAGUUUUUAGGUGUCAUGACCAAAAUGACACUAGCUAUACGCAUUUAAGUAUUAGAUUUGAUAAAAUGGCCAUGGAUCAAAAUGCAAAUACCAUUCUGCAAGAUCUUUGGAAUCACUUACCC
rnacentral:lncRNA from 1 species